GAAGUCAUAGGGUUGUAAAGCCAGGCUCCAGCACAGCAAAUGGGCGUUAUCCCCUGAGACCCGGUUGAGCCAAACCAGGGGAUUGUGAUCGGUGAUGAGGGUGAAGGCCCGGCCAUAGAGGUAAGGUGUGAGCUUUUUGAGUGCCCAUACCAAGGCCAAACACUCUUUCUCAAUAGUGGCAUAACUGACCUCCCUUGGCAACAGCUUCCGACUCAGGUAUGCCACCGGGUGCUCUCCUCC